UACUCUGUUCCCUGCUAUCCUGAAGCAACACCGGGAACUGUGAAAUCCCGGUUUCCCCGUUUUUCAGCUCCAGUGACUUCCAAGGCCACGUGGCCAAAGCUGAGUUUCCACUCCUGGUUUGUCCGAUUCCAGUGCCUGGGUUCAAAGGAUUCACCACGUACUGCUCAGCUUUUUAAACUUGGAUUCUGAAAGACUCUAUGUAUCUCUGUGUAUUUUUUUCUUGAGGUACAAUCUUUCUUGGGAUAUAAUUGACAUAUGCCACUAUGUAGGUUUCAGGUGUCCGGCAUAAUGAUUUGACUUACAUACAGAUACGUAAUUUGUAUAUUGGGGAAUCAAUAUUUCACUCCAAAAUGCCACCUGUAUCUGAGCUUGCAGCUUUCACUGCCCUCCUCCUCCUUCCCCACCCUCCUCACUGUUCAUUUUUUAUUCUGUGUCCAUAACCAGAGAGCCUCUCUACUCAAGUCCUCCCUGGGGCUGAUCCCGUUGAGCUGGAUGUGACCGAAGUCUUGUUCUAUCAGAUGUUGAAGGUUUAACGUGAGUGAAGGCUGUGGUAGAAAACAUCUCACAGAAGUUUAAGAAAUAACAAUAUCAGUUCCGGUGCGCUUGGGAGCCAAAGAAAGACGCACCUGCUGCUCCUGUCACUCAGACCCGCACCUUUCGACAGGCGGGCACGGCUGUCGGGCCUUGGGCUCAACUCUGCUCUGUAGCAGGUGGCUUCCUUCUCGGUGGGAAUGACUUUCUGUCUCCCUGUCUGUGUCCUCUGGCCACACAGGCCCAUCCUCCCAGGCCUGGGGCAAGGGCAUUUCCUCCCUCCUCCUCCCUCCCGUGGGGACAGAGCCGGCCUCGGAGACCACAGCACACGGCACUUCUCUCAGGGCUGGUACUUCGGACGUUCAAUGUCAAUGUCAUCUCUCCGCCUCCUGACCGGACUCUGAGCUUCUUGCUCGCUGGCCACGGACUGUGAGGACUGAAUUCAGAUGGCACGAAAAUUCACCUGGUUUUGCCACGUUCCCGUUCACCUGCCUCCUUGCACACCUGAGUUCAGGAGCCUCAUCCUUCCGCUAGAGGGCGUGGCGUCAUAGAUGCCAGCUGUGCCACCUGGGCUGUCCCAGUGUUCUGACCUCAGCCCUUGAGAAGCAGGUCCUGUCGAGCAUCCCCUCACCGACGGACACCAGGGCCGUGCGACGCAACCACCCGCUGCAGGCCGUCAGCAGAUGGGCUGAGUGAAGGGCCGUCAUUGUCACAGCAAGAGGCCAGCUGCCAGGCGUCCCACCCACCCCUGAGACCCGUCUCUGCAGUGGAAACCCUGCCGGGCAACACAGCCUGAGCCCAGGCGGUGCUGCGGACGAAGGCUGUCCCCUUAGCGGUGAACGCGAGGUGCAAAGCCCCUGCCAACCGUGUGUGGACUUGCAGCGUGGGCAAGUAUGAACCUUGGCUAUUGUAAACCAAAGCGACUCUGGGGGUAUUUGUUCCUGCAGCUGAGUAAGCUCUAAGUGCUGACUGCUGAUCAGUCUGUGAGACACAGUGGACAGGAAGUAACUGCUGAGUGCUGACCUGGUGACUCAGGCUGACAGGUGUUAGUGGAGUUCAUUACAGCAGCUGAAGAUGGGAAAUAGAGAAAACGGGAGCAUUGCCAGGACCGAUUUAGGAAGCAGAACAUUCCGGUAGAGGAGUAACCCAAAAGGCAAUGUCUCCGUCAAGCCAAGGACGUUUGUGGCUGUCUCUCCAAGGCCCUCGCUCCCGGCCGACCCGUGCAGUUUGCCUGCAGACGGCCCCGAGCCCGCCGCCCGGUGAGGAGAAUAUACAGCAAAAUGCUGAGCAUGGAGCGGAGACCAUGAACCCACACCUCUGGAGGCCGACUCUGCGCCCUGCAUCCUCCAUAUGCAGCUCCCCGGCCUCCCAGAACUCGGGCGGGGGGGCUGUUACUGUCCCUCCCUCACAGAUGGGGAAACUGAGGUACAGGAGGGAGGAAGCCAGUGGUGGCCUCAGGCGUCACAGCAGCAGGCGGCGGGUGGAGCUCUGGAGCCAGGCUGCGAUCCCAGCAUCCAAGCUGCCUUCCCGUCAGCCUCCCGAUGAAUCUGAACCUGCACCUCCAGCUGCAGUCUCGCUCCUGGGCUCUGCUCUUUGCUCCUCUGGGCCUCGGACAGGCCUCCUCCGAUACCUCUGUACUUCAGAUGCAGCGGGUUUAAAACUGACCCUGACCUUCACCAUGGAAGGGCCACCCACUCGUCCUACUCCAGGGGACACUGAGGUCAGACGGGCGAUGGGCCCCCCCCCACCGAGGCCCCGGCCACUCAUCCCAGGCUGUGUCCCCCAGUUGCCGCCUGGAGCCUGCGACCCACGCAGAUGUGCAGCCACCAGCGUACCCGUGCUGAUCUGAAUCACCACGUAUUUCAGCAGUGAGAUGGGGGCAUGGUACCCAGCUCCCUGAUUCACGGGCUCCUUGGAGUGUGAAAUGAGAUCAGAAAGGCAAAGCAUCUCAGCAAAGUGAAGGAUGCUCUGAAAGACAGAUGUGAUUAUCCUCUUCAAAUUCCCACUCCGCUGCUAAUCAACCAUGUACACUUGACUUUCAGUUUUAACACAGGAGAGAAUCAGAUCUGGUGGUCUUUAAGGUCUGACAUUUUAGAAUCUGCUUUUGCUGUCCCCACCCUGAGUCUUCUCUAUGUGGUCUGAAGCUACUUAACUCAACAAAUAAAGACUGCAAGAACAAAAGAUUCCAACACCAAGAAGUUUGCAGCAACUAACCACACCCCUCCCUCACCUCGCCUUUAAAAAUGCUUUGCUGAAACCCUUAGGGAGUUUCGGUUUGGGGGGCAGGAGUCACCCAUCUCCUUGCUUAGCCCGGCAACAAACCUUUCUCUGCUCCAAACUCUGAAGUUUCCGUUUCUUUGGCCUCAGUGUGCAUGUGGCACAUGAACUUGCGUUGGGUAAAGAAU